UGUGUGUUAGUGGAAGCGUCUGGAAAGUCGCGCAGCAAAGGGUGAUAGCCCCGUACACUAAAAUGCACAGGUCGUGAGUUCGAUGAGUAGGGCGGGACACGUGACAUCCUGUCUGAAUAUGGGGGGACCAUCCUCCAAGGCUAAAUACUCCUGACUGACCGAUAGUGAACCAGUACCGUGAGGGAAAGGCGAAAAGAACCCCGGCGAGGGGAGUGAAAUAGAACCUGAAACCGUGUACGUACAAGCAGUGGGAGCACCUUCGUGGUGUGACUGCGUACCUUUUGUAUAAUGGGUCAGCGACUUAUAUUUUGUAGCAAGGUUAACCGUAUAGGGGAGCCGUAGGGAAACCGAGUCUUAACUGGGCGAUUAGUUGCAAGGUAUAGACCCGAAACCCGGUGAUCUAGCCAUGGGCAGGUUGAAGGUUGGGUAACACUAACUGGAGGACCGAACCGACUAAUGUUGAAAAAUUAGCGGAUGACUUGUGGCUGGGGGUGAAAGGCCAAUCAAACCGGGAGAUAGCUGGUUCUCCCCGAAAGCUAUUUAGGUAGCGCCUCGUGAACUCAUCUUCGGGGGUAGAGCACUGUUUCGGCUAGGGGGCCAUCCCGGCUUACCAAACCGAUGCAAACUCCGAAUACCGAAGAAUGUUAUCACGGGAGACACACGGCGGGUGCUAACGUCCGUCGUGAAGAGGGAAACAACCCAGACCGCCAGCUAAGGUCCCAAAGUCAUGGUUAAGUGGGAAACGAUGUGGGAAGGCAUAGACAGCCAGGAUGUUGGCUUAGAAGCAGCCAUCAUUUAAAGAAAGCGUAAUAGCUCACUGGUCGAGUCGGCCUGCG
rnacentral:rRNA from 1 species